GCAGAUCAUCUAAAAGAAAACUGAAAAUCUGCAUCAUCCAGGAAAAUCCCGAUAUUGGUAUCUGAAACUAUGAAGAUCCAGGUUGUUGCCGUCCUGAUCCUCGCUCUCUCUGCAGCCGAGAUCUCCGAGACUCUGAACUUCUUCCAGAAGCACGUCGUCAAAAGCAUGAAUCCCCGAAGUUGCGACAGCAAAAUGAAAAGAAUAAAUGCAGCUGAAAGAUGGUGCAAGCCGAUCAAUACCAACUUCUUGGACCCAGAAGGAGUCCUAAACGGAAUCUGUAACUUUGGUAACAACCAUCAAACACAGGCUAUAGAUCUCCAAAUUAUUGAUUGUCAAAGUUUGAGGAAAUCAAACGGAUACCGUCUUUGCACAUACAUAGCUGUCAAAGGUAGAGCAACUAGUGUUACAGUCUUGUGUGAUCAAAACCGUGUGCCUUAUCACCUGGAUAAUGUUGUGAUAAAAAUAAAUAAUGGCUAAUUUUCCAUUUUGUUCUGCAUCUAUGUUCUGUACAAGCAGCAACGACAGAUAUCUGGAACAACUUAGAACCUUCUCCUUCUGAAUUACUAUUUGAAAUAAAGCAUUUUCUGCAUCUUGGAAAUAAUAUUGACAAACAAUAAAGUAAAUUGGAAAAGAAAUGUAACUAC